AACCUUUUGACCUAUUUCAGGCCACCCAGCAAAUUAAUCCAUAGGAGGAUUUGAGGAGACACCAUUUGGGAUGGUGACUGCCCUCCUGUAUUGGCAACCACAAUAUUUAAGAUGCCUGGACCAAUCCAAAGGGGGUGAGUUCCUGGGACACUUCACCAUGAAGCCAUCUAACAGCCUGACAACACAGUUUAAAACACCUUGUUCAUGGGGACCAAAAAUAGCAUUAAAGCAGCCCCUUGAGGAGGAAAAGACUAACAUUCUCUGCUCUAAGUUAAUAGGAAAAUGUACGUAGAUGUGCUCAUCAUAUAUGUCGUAACUCUGGGGAGUUCGUCAGAAUUGGAGUCUCAGAAACAUGCCUGUUGCUAAGACAUUCAUUCCCUCCUCUCUUCUUUCCAGAGGAUUAAAGAUGACAGUACUAAUUAAAGAUGGGGAGAAAAGAGACCGCUGCCGGGUGGGAAGCACAGGGCCUGAAUUCCAAUGAGGCCCAAAUGAGGAGAAGCUGGGGAGGCCUCAUCAUUAGGAGUGUCCUUCUAAGUACUGCGAAGCUUCCUGCGGAGGAAUUCUGUUCUGAAAAGAGGGUGUUUAGCCAAAAUUGCCACCUCUAAGUUACUAGAUCCCAGAAGAAUCUGGAGGGAAGAAGGUUCUGGAAUCGGUGCUAGCAAAUCCAUGAAUUCAACCCUGCCACCUCCAUCCAGGGGCCUCACAUAGUAAAGAGGGAAGGAGCUUGGGUGAGGCUGAGAAGGCCCUCUGUAGUGUUCACACACUGUGACUUAGUGUUUGGAUCUGUCCGUAUUCUCACCAUCAUGCUGCCAUGGUUACCCAGAAUGCCUAGCUUUUGCAGAAGUGGUAGUGAGAACCAAAGAGAGGAUGUGUUUAGGAAGACAAAACAUUCAUUGCUGUUUGCCAUAUUCUUCCAUUGACAUUGAUGGAGGCAGGUCAUGGGAACAGAAGGAUGUUUUGUUGCUGAGGACAAACAGAAUUUCUUUGCUUACCCUGAAGUAGCGUUAAGGGGAAGAAGGCAGGAGAAAGCAGGGGAGAGGUGUGAAGCUCGGCGGAGCAGCGAAGUUAGAAAUGUCCAGCCUGGAGCGAACUAGGGGUGGAAGGGGGACUGUUAGGCCAUGGCCAGGGGGACAAUAGGAAGACUGGAGUCAGCGCUGCCAACCCCUUCAUCCUUGCCCACCCCAAGAUCUUCAUAGCUGCAAUGCCCACCAGUGCCUUCCAUCUAGUUCUUCUAGAACUCUUUCUGUAGACCAGGCUGGCUUCGAACUCACAGAGGUCUGCUGGCCUCUGCCUCCUGAGUGCUGGAAUUAGAGUUGUGCACCACUACCACCCGGCCAUCUCGCUCUUCUAAACCAGUGAAAAGUCCUUCCGUUGGAUAAGAGACCUUUCAGAGGCCACAGUGAGUGUCAACUGUCAAGUGGGUCUGCAGAUGAGAAACUGACACCUUAGUAAACACUGCCUCUGUAGGUUCUUAAAGUAUGUCCAAAGAAAUAAUGUCACUUGAGACUGUGCCACGGAAGAUGUGACCGCCAGCUCACUGUAGGUCCAGCUUGGGAUCUUGGGAGCAUCAGUGAAGCCAUGUGUUUAUGAGCCUUUGGGGAUGACAAAGAGCAGCAAAUGGGUCUCUUGUCACAGGAAGAAGAACCGGGCAUCCAAGAGAUCACAGAGAAGCUGACACCAGGGAGGCACAGGUACCCAAGAUGAAUGACUUGGUCCCCAUCGACACAGACACUUGUGCAGAGGGCCGAAGUUUGAGGCGAAUGAUACACUGGCUUUCGACUGCCACUCAAAACAGGGUAUCCAGCCUUGCUAAAUUAUGGUUCCACUCAUGCAUGAGAAGGUCUUGAGGGAAUUCCUCCUAAUGACAGAGGAGAGUGGUUCUCACUCAAAGAAGCCACCUAAGUCAAGGGACUAAGGUUGUUAGAAGGUCCUGGAGUGGAUCACGGAUUGGAUCUCCUAAGAACCCUCUCAGAACAGGAAGCUACUGAGGACCACCACCACCCGCUGAGCCCAGCCAUCCUGCACCUACAGCCAGCUCUGGGGUCGUUUCCAGCACCUGGGCUUUUUCUCUUCUCCAUAAACCUGGCCACUUGUCAAGUGAGAUCGUCAAGAGGUGGGUUGCCCGUAGGUCUUCUCAAUCGUGAGAAACUUCUAAAUAUGUACGUGCACGUGGUCACCAGGACAGAAGGCCAAAGAGAUCAGGACUCGGGCACUAACGUCAGGAAAGCAUCUUGAAGCUAAAAUUUUAAAGUUAAGUUGACUUUUAAUAAGAGAACAGGAAGCAUAGGAGGACACAUGCUUAGUGCUUCUCCAUGAGUGACCGGCAUGCAAAGGGAAGAGCAAACCCAGGGACCUGCUGCCUGGUUUCUUCCAGUUCUUUGGCCCACAGGCUCCUUUACAGAUAAUAAAUACCAUCUUA